rnacentral:rRNA from 1 species
UGGAGCAUGUGGUUUAAUUCGACGCAACGCGAAGAACCUUACCAGGGCUUGACAUCUAGCUGACGCAUAUUAGAGAUAGUAUGCUCUUUUCGGAGCAGUUAGACAGGUGGUGCAUGGUUGUCGUCAGCUCGUGUCGUGAGAUGUUGGGUUAAGUCCCGCAACGAGCGCAACCCUUAUUCUUAGUUGCCAUCAGGUAAUGCUGGGCACUCUAAGGAGACUGCCGGUGACAAACCGGAGGAAGGUGGGAUGACGUCAAAUCAUCAUGCCCUUUAUGUCCUGGGCUACACACGUGCUACAAUGGCCGGUACAGACGGACGCAAAGCCGCGAGGUGGAGCAAAUCCUAAAAAGCCGGUCUCAGUUCGGAUUGCAGGCUGCAAUUCGCCUGCAUGAAGUCGGAAUCGCUAGUAAUCGCAGGUCAGCAUACUGCGGUGAAUACGUUCCCGGGCCUU